rnacentral:rRNA from 1 species
AGAGUUUGAUCCUGGCUCAGAGUGAACGCUGGCGGUAGGCCUAACACAUGCAAGUCGAACGGCAGCACAGUAAGAGCUUGCUCUUACGGGUGGCGAGUGGCGGACGGGUGAGGAAUACAUCGGAAUCUACUUUUUCGUGGGGGAUAACGUAGGGAAACUUACGCUAAUACCGCAUACGACCUACGGGUGAAAGCAGGGGAUCUUCGGACCUUGCGCGAUUGAAUGAGCCGAUGUCGGAUUAGCUAGUUGGCGGGGUAAAGGCCCACCAAGGCGACGAUCCGUAGCUGGUCUGAGAGGAUGAUCAGCCACACUGGAACUGAGACACGGUCCAGACUCCUACGGGACGCAGCAG